rnacentral:rRNA from 1 species
AUGCAAGUCGAACGCUUCUUUCCUCCCGAGUGCUUGCACUCAAUUGGAAAGAGGAGUGGCGGACGGGUGAGUAACACGUGGGUAACCUACCCAUCAGAGGGGGAUAACACUUGGAAACAGGUGCUAAUACCGCAUAACAGUUUAUGCCGCAUGGCAUAAGAGUGAAAGGCGCUUUCGGGUGUCGCUGAUGGAUGGACCCGCGGUGCAUUAGCUAGUUGGUGAGGUAACGGCUCACCAAGGCCACGAUGCAUAGCCGACCUGAGAGGGUGAUCGGCCACACUGGGACUGAGACACGGCCCAGACUCCUACGGGAGGCAGCAGUAGGGAAUCUUCGGCAAUGGACGAAAGUCUGACCGAGCAACGCCGCGUGAGUGAAGAAGGUUUUCGGAUCGUAAAACUCUGUUGUUAGAGAAGAACAAGGACGUUAGUAACUGAACGUCCCCUGACGGUAUCUA